rnacentral:rRNA from 2 species
UACGAAGGGGGCUAGCGUUGUUCGGAUUUACUGGGCGUAAAGCGCACGUAGGCGGUUUGUUAAGUCAGGGGUGAAAUCCCACAGCUCAACUGUGGAACUGCCUUUGAUACUGGCAAGCUAGAGUCCGGAAGAGGUAAGUGGAACUCCUAGUGUAGAGGUGGAAUUCGUAGAUAUUAGGAAGAACACCAGUGGCGAAGGCGGCUUACUGGUCCGGAACUGACGCUGAGGUGCGAAAGCGUGGGGAGCAAACAGG